rnacentral:lncRNA from 1 species
UAAAUCACAGAUGUACUCAUCAAAACAAAGCAAAAAGUUAAUAUAAUUAUGAUUCUUGAAAUGUUUCCUUUUCGAGAUAACACUGUAUAAAAGCAUAUAAUUUCAUAGACCUAUUAGUCUCUGAUAGCUAUAGUAAACUAAUUUGCAACCAACUGUAAAAAAUGAACUAUACAUUAAUCACAACACUGUGAAAACUACUUGGACAGUCUAUGAAUGGCUGGAAAUAACUGAGGAAGAACUGAACAAAUAAAAACGAGGCAUUUCAUACAGUAAAUAAUGUAGUCAAUUUAACAUUAAUACAAAAAUGAAAUUAUCUCUUUUUCCCAUUAAUGCUAUGGUAAUGACAAGUGUUUAAAAUUUAUAGUAUUUGUUAAAAUAUUAGUGCUGGUUUUGUUCUCUCUGCAGAGGAUUUUUUUCUAUAUGAUUUUAAGUUUCUCUCCACUCAGUGAGUAAUAAGCGGAGAAGCAUUUCCAUACUACCACGGGCUACUCACAUCUAGUGGAUGGCCCGCGGAGGAUCAGGCGUCAGAUGGAUGACGGAUUCAGCGAACCAGACCCAGACUCUUUCUGAAAAAACUGGAGGCGUAGGAUUCGGAAACUUGAACGAGAACCUUCAGGAUGGAAGUAUAGCAUUCUUCAACUGCAAUCAUUUGGCCGAUCUUUUGCAGGAAUUAUUAUUAUUUCUAUCUUUUCUUAUCUUUUGCAGUUAUUUUUUAAUGUGCAGUUUUACGCAACUUCUCAUCGUAUAGGCUCCAAGAAGAUUUUGCUAGGCACUAAGUCGCGAGCAUUCAGUUCCCACCACGAUCGCCCACACUCCUAGUUGGAGUCAGCCGGCAAGUGAAGGAUGGUGUUCAACGGGCUGGCCUAUUACCCUUUGGACAAGGAUGGCCAAUUCAUCUACUGCGUGAUGUCAGGAAGCGGACCAACGUGGCCGCUUGCUCUCUCGUUCUCAAACAAAUGGUAAUCACGAUAGGUUAACAUUUAACAGACAAAAGGGCGUAAUACUGACUUUUAUUUUUGUUAGGGAAUAGGCAUAAACUGUCAGAGCAAUGAAUUUAAAAUUUGUCUUUUUUCGUGACUUUAGUGUUUUGAAAAUCUCUGCUUCUGUAACUUUGUAUUUGUAGAAAUCUGUUCGCAUCCUAGCUACAAAAUAUCCUAGUUUCGAAAUGAUUGCAUCGCAGAGAUUUCGAAAGGUGGAAUAAGAACGGGCUAUAAAAUAUAUUACAGAAUACUUAUUUGAAAAAUAAAACUUUUGAGUGAAACACAUAUACAGCCGGUUCUCGACUUUCGUACAAUUCUCUAUUUCGUACAUAUUUAAAGUUUAAAUUUUUAUUGAUAUGUAUCCCAAAAACGUGGGUACUUCCUUGUAAUCAC